rnacentral:rRNA from 1 species
GACGGAGGAUGCUAGCGUUGUUCGGAAUUACUGGGCGUAAAGCGCACGUAGGCGGCUUUGUAAGUUAGAGGUGAAAGCCUGGAGCUCAACUCCAGAAUUGCCUUUAAGACUGCAUCGCUCGAAUCCAGGAGAGGUGAGUGGAAUUCCGAGUGUAGAGGUGAAAUUCGUAGAUAUUCGGAAGAACACCAGUGGCGAAGGCGGCUCACUGGACUGGUAUUGACGCUGAGGUGCGAAAGCGUGGGGAGCAAACAGG